GUAUCUGUGGGGACAUCAUGAUGACCCAGUCUCCAUCAUCAGUGUCUGUGUCAGCAAAAGAGAGGAUUUCCAUCAACUGUAAGGCCAGCCAGAAUCUGUUUGGCAGUAAUACCAAGAAGAACCACUUAGCCUGGUUCCAGCAGAAACCAGGGCAGUCUCCUAAGCAGCUGAUCUCCUGGGCAUCCACCCGGUUAACUGGGGUCCCUGAUCGCUUCAUAGGCAGUGGAUCUCAGACUGAUUUCACUCUCACCAUCAGCAGUGUCCAGGCUGAAGACAUGGCACAUUAUUACUGUAUGCAGCAUCACAGUUAUCCUCCCACAGUUCUUCAGCCUCCAACAAAAACCUCCUCUGAGAGUCUCACCAGCUGCUUGCACCACACACAGACCUGGAACUGCACACUUCCCCCUUCUGCCUGA